ACGGGUGAGUAACACGUGGGCAACCUACCUUAUCGACUGGGAUAACUCCGGGAAACCGGGGCUAAUACCGGAUAACAUCUAGCACCUCCUGGUGCCGGAUUAAAAGAGGGCUUCUUGCUCUCACGAUGAGAUGGGCCCGCGGCGCAUUAGCUAGUUGGAGAGGUAACGGCUCCCCAAGGCGACGAUGCGUAGCCGACCUGAGAGGGUGAUCGGCCACACUGGGACUGAGACACGGCCCAGACUCCUACGGGAGGCAGCAGUAGGGAAUCUUCCGCAAUGGACGAAAGUCUGACGGAGCAACGCCGCGUGAGUGAUGAAGGGUUUCGGCUCGUAAAGCUCUGUUAUGAGGGAAGAACACGUACCGUUCGAAUAGGGCGGUACCUUGACGGUACCUCAUCAGAAAGCCACGGCUAACUACGUGCCAGCAGCCGCGGUAAUACGUAGGUGGCAAGCGUUGUCCGGAAUUAUUGGGCGUAAAGCGCGCGCAGGCGGCCUUUUAAGUCUGAUGUGAAAUCUUGCGGCUCAACCGCAAGCGGCCAUUGGAAACUGGGAGGCUUGAGUACAGAAGAGGAGAGUGGA
rnacentral:rRNA from 2 species